rnacentral:rRNA from 1 species
UGGGGAAUUUUGGACAAUGGGCGCAAGCCUGAUCCAGCCAUGCCGCGUGCGGGAAGAAGGCCUUCGGGUUGUAAACCGCUUUUGUCAGGGAAGAAAUCUUCUGAGUUAAUACCUCGGGAGGAUGACGGUACCUGAAGAAUAAGCACCGGCUAACUACGUGCCAGCAGCCGCGGUAAUACGUAGGGUGCAAGCGUUAAUCGGAAUUACUGGGCGUAAAGCGUGCGCAGGCGGUUUUGUAAGACAGAGGUGAAAUCCCCGGGCUCAACCUGGGAACUGCCUUUGUGACUGCAAGGCUUGAGUGCGGCAGAGGGGGAUGGAAUUCCGCGUGUAGCAGUGAAAUGCGUAGAUAUGCGGAGGAACACCGAUGGCGAAGGCAAUCCCCUGGGCCUGCACUGACGCUCAUGCACGAAAGCGUGGGGAGCAAACAGGAUUAGAUACCCUGGUAGUCCACGCCCUAAACGAUGUCAACUGGUUGUUGGGAAGGUUCCCUUCUCAGUAACGUAGCUAACGCGUGAAGUUGACCGCCUGGGGAGUACGGCCGCAAGGUUGAAA